GAUUUAGUUUAAUCACAAGCUCAAAGCAAACAUUCUACUGCGGUUGCUCGCUUUCAAUAGAAACGAAUGGACUUUUCAUCAAACAUAUUCAGUCAGGAAAAUGUUUUUAUGAUAAUGGUCAUGAUCCUGGAUUUUUUACUAAUUUGAGGUUUAAAGAGAAUUGUUUUCACUCGGGAGCUCAAUUUAAAUUUGUACAAUCUGGUUCAAUAUUAAAUCUAAACAAACCAGGUUGUCUUGAAGAAAACAAAGACAAGCAGAAGUUAUUUCGGACUCAUCCAAACUUCUUUAGACCAUCAAUGCUAUGACCCAAACCUUUUGGGGUGGUUUAAUCUAUUCACGCUAUAAUAAAAGUAUAGCAGCUCUAAGAGGUCUUUUGACGUGAGGACUGGGCAAUUGUAAAGAUGAAGAAGACGAACGAUUUUAUUUUACCAAGUUUGAAUUUUCAUCCAGUUAGCAUGUAUAUAAUUAAACUAUGAUCAGAAGCCACUGCAAGGCCAUGGCUAUAGAUAUGGUGCCAGUGAGAUCAGUGCCACCAGAAACUUCAUUUUUUUAAAUUCAACUUUUAUUUUACAGGUAAUUCAAGAUAAGCUUGUAUAGAUUUGAAUUUGCUUAUUUUUUUGUUUGUCUUCUAUACGCUUACACUGUUAUUUUUGGGGUGUUGAACUAGCACUUUCUCUAGUGCUAAACUGACACCCUAUCGGUGGUGUUAAAUAAAAGUGUUAUUAUAACACCAA